UCAAAGAAGAUCCUAGGGCCCAAGCUACAAAAUUGAAAACAAAGAACCUGUCAUACACCCAUUUCAGUAUAUACACAAAGAACUGUAGUCUUAUACAUGCAUUAAGUAGGCGAAAGUAUGAGUAGUGGAGGUCACUUGUGAGAGAUUAAGCAGUAAAGGCGAAGCAUAUGAGGCAUACAAGGAGUUUGUGUAUAGCAUUUGUUCAAGAAUACUAUCAUGUUUAUUCCAUUAGACAGGACUAUCAUGAUGUUUUAACAGACCAUGGGAGUGCAACACAUGAACGCUCCCUAGAAGUCAAAGCGCCUGAUAGCUUUCAAUCUGCAUCUUAAAGUCGAAUUUUGUUUCCCGGCAAUUUUUUGUACAGCUUGCUGAAUAGGAUAGUGUGAAACUCAAUAAGUUUUUUUUUUCUGCACAAUUAAUAAGGGCCCAACUCUUUUUUUCUGAGACUGAUAUAAUCCUAUCAGGGAACAUCUAUAAAUCUGCUCAAUACCACUCCUCUCCAAACUGGGGCGAAUCAAGAUGGAGUGCCGCGUGGGCGCACCGGCACACCCCAAAUUUGUGAAGCUCGGUUUGAUUUAACAAAUCGCUAGGUGAAACAACCCCAUACCUCGAAACCCAAUCGCCUAGGAGGGGGUGGAGACAGUGGGAAGGAGACAUCCCGCCGAGGGAGGACGGGAUGGCGAUGGCGGCGGCGUGCGCGAGAGGGGGGAGGCGAGGGUGGGGGCGGGAUUGAGGCAGCUGGGGAGGAAGAAGAGCGCAUUGAUGGCUCGCCAUUAGAGUUAUGGCCGAGUUCAGAUAAAAAAGAAAGAAUCACUGAUUGUUUCCAUACAUCAGAAUUAUGGCUAAAAAUGUACUUAGAAGUAUGUCUCUUGAACAAAGCUAAGGCCCAUGAAACACACACAUUGAAACCAGGAGUGCUACUAAUUUAUCUAUGCAAACCUACAACAAAAUUAUGGCUGAAAUGACAUGCCAUGAAACUGGAGGUGUAGUGCCUGUUUCAGAAAAAUGAUCAAGGUUCCCUAGUCCUAGUAAUGUGAGCAUGAACCCCUGUGUGACAACCUACCUUCAGUGGCAAAGCUAUGAACUACCAGAUGGGCCAAAAUGAAGUUAUCGAUAAAAUCAGUCAUUUACCUAGGUAGAGAAACCAAACAUGAAGUAAAUUCAUAGAACGAGACUUUCAUAUCCACGGAUGAUCAAUAUCUAUCAACAUAGCCAACAGAGCAUAGGUAGAGAGAAAACUCACCUGCUGACAUCACCAAGAGUAGCUCAAGUGGGCCUUGGAACUACACACACCACCAUGGAAGUUCUGUGCACUGGGGAUCAGUCCCAGAGGUGUUGUCACUUCAGCCUUUUACCUCGCAAACACACUCGUACCCCUCAUUCAGGAGCUGCUGGAGGAAGAAGGCAAACGUCAAUGAACACACAUUGUUUUCUAUAAAAUGUAGAAAUUUCCAAUGAACACUAUAUAACAAAUUUUAGACUAACAUGUGUUAUAUUAUAAAUGUGAAACAGAGCAGAAACACCUUAAAACUAUUUGAUCCCGGUCAUCACAUUCUUCCAAACAAAUGCUUAGAAUAGAAUGUCAAAAUAUAACAGGCGAAGUAUACUACUUAGGUGUGCAACAUAAACUGAUUCACACUAACUGUUACAAGUGAGCAUUUGAUCCAAUUUUUGCUAUUUCAUAUCUCAAACUGUAUAUAGCUUCAGCCCACAUGAUAACACGAAACGUGCAAAUGGAAUUUUCUUUAGGCAGAACUAAGGAAGCAACAAUGGCAACUCAGUGAAUAAUAAUUAUAGCAAAAUGGGAACAAAGCAAAACAAGAAAAAGAGGCAUGCAAGAGCAGCACCUAGCAUUCGGGGCGACACUCCGUUCCUUUAUCUGAACUACAACCCAAAAUGCAAAAAUAAGGAUCUCUCAUAUUCACUUGCAGCUUACCUAUAAACUACACGAUAAGCCCUAGAGCUUCUUAGAGCAAUCCCAUAUAUCUUGAAAGAUAACCAGUCACCUGCAUGGGCAAGUGAAAAGGCUUCAUUAAGAAAAUGUAACAUCCAUAGUAAGCCCUAGACAGAACGAACAU
rnacentral:lncRNA from 1 species